CACGUAGGGGGCGAGCGUUGUCCGGAUUCAUUGGGCGUAAAGAGCUCGUAGGCGGCUCAGUAAGUCGGGUGUGAAACCCUCAGGCUCAACCUGGGGACGCCACUCGAUACUGCUGUGGCUAGAGUCCAGUAGAGGAGUGUGGAAUUCCCGGUGUAGCGGUGAAAUGCGCAGAUAUCGGGAGGAACACCAACGGCGAAGGCAGCACUCUGGGCUGGAACUGACGCUGAGGAGCGAAAGCGUGGGGAGCGAACGAG
rnacentral:rRNA from 1 species